rnacentral:rRNA from 1 species
CAGGUGAGGAACCUGCCUCUGAGAGUGGGAUAGCUUCUGGAAACGGAUGGUAAUACCGCAUAACAUAGUGAAACCGCAUGAUUUUGCUAUCAAAGUAUUUCGCUCAGAGAUGGCCUCGCGUCUGAUUAGAUAGUUGGUGAGGUAACGGCUCACCAAGUCGACGAUCAGUAGCCGGACUGAGAGGUUGAACGGCCACAUUGGGACUGAGACACGGCCCAGACUCCUACGGGAGGCAGCAGUGGGGGAUAUUGCACAAUGGGGGAAACCCUGAUGCAGCGAUGCCGCGUGGAGGAAGAAGGUUUUCGGAUUGUAAACUCCUGUCGUAAGGGAAGAGGAAGGACUGUACCUUACAAGAAAGCUCCGGCUAACUACGUGCCAGCAGCCGCGGUAAUACGUAGGGAGCGAGCGUUGUCCGGAAUGACUGGGUGUAAAGGGAGCGUA